UACGUAGGUGGCAAGCGUUGUCCGGAUUUACUGGGCGUAAAGGGUGCGUAGGCGGCGCGGUAAGUCGGGUGUGAAAUUUCGAGGCUUAACUUCGAAACUGCAUUCGAUACUGCCGUGCUAGAGGACUGGAGAGGAGACUGGAAUUUACGGUGUAGCGGUGAAAUGCGUAGAUAUCGUAAGGAAGACCAGUGGCGAAGGCGGGUCUCUGGACAGUUCCUGACGCUGAGGCACGAAGGCCAGGGGAGCAAACGGG
rnacentral:rRNA from 1 species